CGGCUGGAAAGGAAACAUGUCCAAGUUAUCAGGAGUUUGGGGUUAACAUCGUUUAUCAGCUGGGAGGUUUUGGCUAAAACUGCAACUAAAGUUGUCUUAAGAUUAGACAAAUUACCAUUGCACAUAAUAGAACAUCCAGUCUCUGCCGCUGAGUGAGCCAUUCAGACUCCAGGUUCUUUCCAUUUUCCAGCGUUGGCUUCAUUCUCAGACUGGUGAAGAAACUUCUGCUAGAAGUCCAGCAGCCAACUUCUGUCAUCUCAUCGGCCAUACAUGGGUUAUGCGCCUCUUCUGGACCAGUCACUGUUAAGAAGUACAGAAUGGCCCUCAAACCCUGGAGCACACAGGAGAUCAGCCUUUCUCAGGGUCCAGGUUAUGCAAGAUACAGUGAUGAAUAAAAAACUCCUUGCAUUUGUGAAGCUUACAAACUAGACAGGGGUGGAAAUGGAAUACAAUAAUACACAAAUGCAAAUAUAUAAGUGCAGCACAGCUCAUCCAAUGAAACACAGUAGAGACCUAUUUACUCUUUACUGUGGGCAAAUAGCAGGCUUUCCGCAGCAUUCCUGAACAGCUCAAAGUUUUUUGUAGUAAAAAUCUAUGAUCACAAAUGUUACCCUCAGGCUUGGCUAGGAAAACUAAGUUAGUAAUUUAACAAGUUAUAAAUUUCAGAUUUAUGGUUAAAAUGUGAACAUUAUCACCAAAUAUUGGAAAGAAGUUUCUUGGAGGGAAAAUUUCAUUAUGUCCUUUAUAUGCUGAAAUUCUAUCAGUUUGUUGAAGAAUAAAAUUAUAUAUAUUACAAUAUGAGUAAAAUACUGCAAUAUUUAAUUAAGGGGCCAAAAUUGUUAGUUUUAUGUAAAGUCAAACACUAAGUACUUUCAAAUGGUUCAAUACUGGAGUAGAUAACAUGUCAUACAACUGAGAAGAGAGA